AGGGAGGGACCUCGAGAGUGAAAGUAAGUGAGUAACAGACAGACUCCAUUUCACACGUUGACAGAGCAGCAGAAAGAGAACAGGGGUUACUAGUUCGUCUCUCAGGAUGGAGAACAUGAGAGAUUUGGAUGAUGAGGAGGAGGACAAAUCUUCAGUGUCCAGAAAACCUCCAGAUUUGAGUAAUACACUUGGAGCAUCUGACACAAGACAGAGAGCAGAGUCUCCAGUCCCCAGCUGCCUGUCUCUG